rnacentral:lncRNA from 1 species
ACCAAUCGGCUGUCACUGAUUGGAGGGGAAGUAUGCAUUCUUAGGAGAAUGCACUCUUUAAUGGAUACGCAGAUGUACAAUGUACGUUUGAUAGGUCAUAAGUCAGGCUUUUUAGUUCAAGCCAAAUCAGUUUUGAAUGAAUAAUUACCUCACAUACCUCAAUACGUGAAAAUCUCUUGUCAUUAGUAAAACAAUGUUUUAAAGAAGAUAUUGUGUGUGUGUGCGUGUGUGUGAGAUGCAUCUAUCAGUUAGGACUUGGCCCCAGGUAACAGAAAUCACUCCAGCUACUUAAGCAGAAUGGAUUUUAACAUGGAAUUAUGUGCGUACAAAACUGUUCCAGAAUUGAAGGAGGAAGUUCUAGGCUGAGGUUCCAGGAAUGACACUGUGGGGGAUUGGAAUUGGCCACCCCAAGAUAUGUCUCUUUGGAUUAUUUUGGGCCGGUUACUUUUAAAAACUGCAGACAUGAGAGAAACUCUGAAAAGUAGAAGUUACCCUUUGUAAGAGACAUUUACAUUUGUAAGGGAAAUCUCCAUCUGUAAAGGUGUCUCUCUCUCUGUACCAGGAAGAAGGAGGGAUGACUAAUCUCUAGAAACUCUUAUCAGUGCAGAAGGCAAGGACUUAAGUCUGCAUAGUAACCUUACUCUUGUUUACUCUACUUUUCUGGUAAUCUCCCAUAAUUGACUCUCCCCACCCCCAACAUCCUCCUUUGUCUGCAGCUGAAGAUGGUAUUUAAGAUGAGAGCCUCUGCCAUUUUGCCCAGCCAGAAGGACCUACAGUGAGUAGAGGAAACGUCUUCCUCCUCCAACAGCACCCUCCUCAGAAUAACACUGAAGAACUGGGCCGCCAACAAGGCAGUGACCGCUGCUAUGAUCAAGAAACUAGGGUAUCAGGAAGCCACUGUCCCACCUGUUGGCUCUGAGACCAAAGUGCCUCGGAUGUCGCCUAUGCUGGUAAAAUGAUGCAUCUUGAUAAGGAAGAUUAGCCCUGAGCUAACUACUGCCAGUCCUCCUCUUUUUUGCUGAGGAAGCCUGGCCCUGAGCUAACAUCCGUGCCCAUCUUCCUCUACUUUCUAUGUGGGACGCCUACCAUAGCACGGCAUGCCAAGCGGUGCCAUGUCCAUCCGCACCUGGGAUCCAAACCGGCAAACCCCGGGCCACCGAGAAGCAGAACGUGCAAACCUAACCGCUGCGCCACCGGGCCGGUCCCCUGUUUUUUGUUUUCUAAUGCAUGGUAUUUGGAGAUUCUUAAGAAGUCUAGGCAAGGUGCUAGAUGAAUUAUGAUGCCUCGGGUAUAGGUUACUUUUACCAUCUGAGUCAGAAAACAGAGUUUUCUGGUACCACUGCUACUCACACCAAUUCUGACACCAGAUGUGUGGGUUUUCCCACACCAAGCAUUCUCCACUUCUCUGUGCUUUUGGUGCCUUGAGGGUCAACUGGGUGGAGCUGUGAGAGAUAAAGGGCAAAAAGCUAUUUUAACUUAGCUGGUGCUGUUUGCAGAUCUCUCUUGCCUGUCGGACAAAGCUGGCUCUCUCCUGUCACGGAAGACGUCCAAACCAAAGCUACCCUUUUCUCUCCUAGGAUGUUGUGAUGGUUAAUUUUAUGCAUUAACUUGGCUGGGCCACUGUGCCCAGAUAUUUGCUCAAACGUUAUUUUAGAUGUUUCUGUGAAGGUGUUUUUUUGGGGAGGAGAUUAACAUUUAAAUUUGUGGACUUUUGAGUAAAGCAGAUUACACUCCACAGUGCGUGUGGGCCCCAUUCAACUAGCUGAAAGCCUGAAUACAACAAAGACGGACCUCCUUUGGGCAAGAAGGGGUUCUGCCAGCUGACUGCCUCGGGACUAUUCCGAGUCUCCAGCCUGCUGGCCUACCUCAUCUGAUUUUGGAUUCGCCAAGCUUCCACGAUCACUGUGAGCCAGCUCCUCAAAAUAAAUCUCUCACUCUAUGUAUACAUAUCCUGUUGGUUCUAUUUCUCUGGACAACCCUAACUAAUACGGAUGCUUUUGUUAGUUUUUCAGAGGUCUCCAGAGAAUCUUCACCAUGCACCAUUUUGACCCCUCAAGAUGGUCCCCAAGUCUUACGUCAGGGAUCCAACUUCUAGUCUCCCUCUGAAUCCACUAUCCUCCAUGGAGACAGACACUGUCAAGGACAAGCACCUGGACUAUCUCCUCCCACAAAGAGAUAUGGGCUGGUGGGAAAGCUGCUGACCAGCAAGGUCAUGAGCUCCCUCCUCUCUGCAAGUGUCUCAAGGCCAAAGACAGGCUGGUGGGAAAGCUCCGACCAGCAAGGCCAUAUGCUCCCCCUCCCCUACCUAAAACCCCAAAUAAAAACCCUUCCUUUUAGCUUUUCGGGGAGUUUGGGAUUUCAGCGUUAGCUGCCCUCUCUCCUUGCUCAGCGCUGUGCAAAAAUAAAAUUCCUACUUUCUUCCACCACACCCGGUGUCAGAGAUUGGCUUGCUGUGCGACAGGUGAGUGAACUCACUUCAGGUUCGGCAACAACAGGGGACAGGAACCUUUGUCCUGCCAUGGAGGGACAUGCAGCCUUCCUCCUCACUCUGCCAUCAGAGACAGCUCCAGUCUCUCAUAAUCAGAUUUUUUUUUUUGAGGAAGAUUAGCCCUGAGCUAACCUCUGCCGCCAAUCCUCCUCUUUUUGCUGAGGAAGACUGGCCCUGAACUAACAUCCAUGCCCAUCUUCCUCAACUUUAUACUGGGACACCUGCCACAGCAUGGAAGCCUGUGCCAUGUCUGCACCUGGGAUGUGAACUGUCAAACCCCAGCCUCUGAGAAGCGGAACCUGCGAACUUAACCACUGUGCCACCGGCAGGCCCCACAUCAUCAGAUUUUUUGAGGCACCACUUAGGCACAGGCUCUAUGCCACCCACACUCUUGGGGACACACUGGCAAGUUCCCCCAAGUAAUGAAUUAAGCUCUGUCCCAUGGUGGCUCCACAGGGGGUGGAGAGGCUUGCCUGACCUCAGCUUGGUGAAUUCUCCCAUUGUCCUUUAGGACUUCCCAAGGUCACCAGACACAUAGACAGUGUAUGGGAAAGGUUUCCCAGAUGGUCCGGUGAUACCCACAUGGAAAAGGUGAUUAUCUAUCGUGAAGCUGAUUUCUCUGCAUAUGACAAAGGAGCCAGUUUAGCCUGGUGAUUAAAGCAUGGCCUUUGGAGUCAGGCCAACCUACCCCAACCAUCAGUGAACAACAGACGAGGCACGAAAACACUGGGGAAAAUAGCACCUCCAAUACAGCAUUUAGCAUAAAUGCUAAAAUGUUUGCAGGGCUCCAGGCACAUAGUAGGUACCCAAUAAGCGCAUAGCCACUGCACUAAAAGUAGAACCAAGAAAACUUACGCUCCGGCGCGUGAGCGGCCGCAGAGUCCUUGCGGAUGGAGUAGACCCGGACUGCUUCCUAACCCCGGAAGAGGCCCCGCG